GUGGGGAAUCUUAGACAAUGGGGGCAACCCUGAUCUAGCCAUGCCGCGUGAGUGAUGAAGGCCUUAGGGUCGUAAAGCUCUUUCGCCGGGGAAGAUAAUGACUGUACCCGGUAAAGAAACCCCGGCUAACUCCGUGCCAGCAGCCGCGGUAAUACGGAGGGGGUUAGCGUUGUUCGGAAUUACUGGGCGUAACGCGCGCGUAGGCGGAUCGGAAAGUUGGGGGUGAAAUCCCGGGGCUCAACCCCGGAAUUGCCUUCAAAACUCCCGGUCUUGAGGUCGAGAGAGGUGAGUGGAAUUCCGAGUGUAGAGGUGAAAUUCGUAGAUAUUCGGAGGAACACCAGUGGCGAAGGCGGCUCACUGGCUCGAUACUGACGCUGAGGUGCGAAAGCGUGGGGAGCAAACAGGAUUAGAAACCCGGGUAGUCC
rnacentral:rRNA from 1 species